UGCUACGUUGCGACAGGAGGGAGCGGGUCAGCGGAGGGUUGAGGAGAGGACGUGUUAGGAAUCAGUGUGAGGCAAGAGACAACAGCAGGACUUUGUUAUACAUGGUUACACUUGAGCACAGCACAGACACACGCAGAGGACCAGAUGAGGCGGUAAGGAUGUGCGCUACAAUCGUUUUGCUGCCGUUUACAGGAGCAUCAUGGUCACAGUGACUUGAGCUUGGAGUCCUUUUUGAGGCCAGAGGACGCCAAAGAAGACGCAUGCUCCUUGAGAUCGAUGAGGCUGGACUGAAGCGUAGACACAAGAGAAGUAUUGAACAGUACAUUCUUAAAGACACAAGGUGUCAAACGCAUGUUGAUCACGCACCUCUUUUUCUGUUAAUUCUAUCUGCAGGCUGUUGACUUUCUCUUUGAGGUCCUUGUUCUCCUUCUUGUAGGCGUCCACUUCCUCCAGACGUUCUCGGUCUUCCCUCUCCCUCUGGUCCUUCAGACGCUCGAUGAUUCGCUCCUGACAGGACGCACAGUAAAAACACUUGAAUGAAGCCAACAAUAUGAGCGCCGGUUACUAGGCCUUACCUUCUCGGACAGCGCCUCCUCCAGGGUGGCCAGGGCAGUGUCGGUGUUGGUGGAGUCGGUCUGCAGAGACUUGACGCGGUCCUUCAAGUUGCUCAGCUGCUUGUCUUUGUCCCUCAGUUGCUCCUGCAAGUUCUCAAUCUGAGGAGGAGGAGACCAGCGCCUUCAUGUAACAAACUUGCAUACGCCGUCUUUUACGGCAACGAUGAGAUGUAUAAAAACUGAUGUUGAAGUGGAAAUGUGUGCUGCCUCACAACAACUCCAUGGCUAACGUACGCAUAUUUUGACAGGCUGUGAAUACUUGAGCGACACACAGAGGGGAUGCUGGAUAAUAGUUAACAUAAAAAUGGGCAAACUUUUAAUUCUCAGACUCUGGAAUGCCCUCCAGGUAACAAUUAGAAAUGCUACCUCAGUAGAAGUAUUUAAGUUCCAUCUUAAAACUCAUUUGUAUACGCUAGCUUUUAAAUAGACCACCCUUUUAGACCAGUUGAUCUGCCGUCUCUUUUCUGCUCUUCCCCCCUCUCCUGCGUGGAGAGGUUAUUAGGUGACCACAGAUGACGCGCUAGCUGUUCAAAGUAGGGACCAGGGGUGGACCACUCAUCUGUGCAUCAGUUGGGGAUGUCUCUGCGCUGCUGACUUGUCUCCACUCAAGAUGAUCCCCUGCCCGGGGGGGAGGGGUCCCCAUAUCUGCGGUCGCCUCCAAGGUCCUGCAGCUGCUUGGUUUUCUUGUUGAGGAAGGACUCCUUCUCCUCCAGACGCAGACGCAGAGCAUCUACCUGAAGCAUGGCGGAGGCAAAGAAUACUUCAAAGAAUGUGCUGGCAUCUCGCUUCAAAUACAGCUUUCCUUCGCCACUUCACAGUUUACUUACUAGAGUCUCAGGGCAUCGCAGAUUUAAAAAUUUAAAAUGUGUGUUUUUUAGAAACUUUUUGAUAUUACCAGCUGUCUACUGAGUAGUGAAGCUGCUUUCUCAUGUGACAUUGUACACGGCACACCAUUGGCCAAUGGCAAACCAAUCACACUGAGUUCUCUGUUUUGGCAGCUGGUUGAGCCUUCUCUUUGCUUCAGUUCCAUUUACUGUAGCUCUGCUUGUGUGUUUAACAUUUGUAUUAAUUUGAAGGCCCACGAUAAUGUCCAAACAUUCCACGCCUUGUAAGGCUUCUGGCACAGAACCUAAGCCCCAGACAAAGCUGGUUACUACGGGAGAAAAGGUGAACCUCCUCAUUGCUAUGCUAAAAGAAGGUAGAUUAGCUACGUGCUGCCAUUUCAAGAUUAAUCCUCAAUUCACUAAUAAAGAAUAUAAGGAUAACUGUAACAGUGUCUAUCAAAAAUACUGUGGCAACAACUUUCACUAACUUUGUUCCUCACUCGGAAGAAGACACGAGCGUCACUGUCAUCAUGAUGCAGCUAAUUCUUUAGCGUCAUUUGUGUGUAACAAUAUUAUAUGUUACAAUUACGUACGAGUGUAGCCGGUGUUUAAGAGCGUAGUUAAGGGCCUGAUCUACUAAGAUCCAAAUAAUAAAACUAUAAAAUAUUAUAUACUAUAAAAUAUAAUUGCAUGUGAUCUACUAAUACUGUGUGUACAAUUGAAAAGUGGUGAAGACAGCCUUAUUUAAAUUAGGUAGCUGCAUUGUUUGCCUUCUAUGUUAAUGGUAAUAUGCUCUCCAACUUGUGUGCUAUGUUGUUGAACUAGCAGAACACAUCUAUAAUCUGUAACACUUUUUCUGCAAUAUAGAAUCGCAAAUCUAUAAACAACAGAAAGCAUUUUUAGCGCACUGAUACACUGCAGGGAGACGCAUUAAUGCGUCUGGAAUGAUCCAAACGCAAGGAAACGCUUAUUGAAAGACGUCCCACUGGGGUGAGUUUUUCCUUGCCCGUAUGCGGGCUCUGUACCGAGGAUGUCGUUGUGGCUUGUGCAGCCCUUUGAGACACUUGUGAUUUAGGACUAUAUAAAUAAACAUUGAUUGAUUGAAAGACGUCUUUCUAUAUAAUAUAUUUUCUAAAUGAAAUAAAGAAUGCCAUUUAAAAGAAAAAAACGCCAGCAGACACAAAACACAUGAAAUAAAUUUGUUUUAAUCAGCCACAUAAAUCAUCCAGCAGCUAUAAAAGUAUAUUGCAGGUUAGACAAUGUCUAAUAUCUUUUAUUUCUGACAGUCCAAAUAUGUUGACAAAGAUCGUAGGACAUAGAAUUAUAUGUCCAUCGUCUGUCUUUGCAGCACGAUCACCUCUUUUCUCACAGCCAUGUGCGUAACUGUGUCAGUCUGCACAUACUUUUUAGACGUGCUAAAUUAAGAUGUAAAAUACCGCCUACAGAAAAGUGAUCAGCCUUGAUAGGACACUUUGAGCGUGCUGAAUAAUUACAUUUGCAGCUUCUCAUCCCAGUACUGUGGGCUUUCUGAUGAUCAGCAUAUAAUCGGCAUAUUCAUGAAGACAGACACGCUAAAUGGAUUCUGCUCCUUGAUCUGCUCACUUAAGAGACACAAUCCUCUGCUUACAAGUUUAGUUGAUCAGUUUUGCAUGUGCUAUCAAGUUUGCACAUGUUUUAGUACACACAAACUUUAGCAGAUCAGGCCCUAAGUGUUUAUGAGUGUGUGUGAAAGGUUAGUAACAGCGUGUGGAAGGUUUAUAACGAUCUAAAACAAUGUUUAUUAACCAUGGGGGCAGAGACUAUUAAUGGAGCCUGAGCGCCAAAAAAUACCUAUUUCUCAUCACUGGUCCGUGUGGGCCACGACGGUACUCAGUAUUACACUUUUCCAUCACUUGUUGCAGCAAUGACAAUCGCAAAGCAACAGCUAAAGUCAUAGAGAAGGUUCUUAAACGCAAAAAUUAUGACUAAAGAUUUUAUUUGCACUUCAGUUUUAUUGACAGUUUAGUUAAACAUAAUUAUCAGAAAUUUGUUUAUUUAUUUUGCACAUCAAUGUAAAUGUGUUUUCCUCACUUAUUCAUGAGUCCCUUCUUAUGCAGUAUAUUUGGUUAGUAUUUAUUUUUAUAAUUAGCUUGACCUAAGCCUAAGGUUUAUUUGAUAAUCAUUUUUAUGAUUAACACAUGGUUUCAUAUCAUUUGGCAAGGUUGUAAACUGUAAGUAGGUGAGACAUAAAUAUUGAAUAUGAUUUAAAAAAAAAGAGUAAAUGUACUAAUUCAGUGUUAUUAUUUGAGCGGGCCUACGGCCCCUCUGCAGUGGAAAAGUUGGGCCCCAAGAUCAAAAAGGUUGAGAACCCAUCCAUCCAUCCAUUUUCUACCGCUUGUCCCUUUCGGGGUCGCAGGGGGUGCUGGAGCCUAUCUCAGCUGCAUUCGGGCGGAAGGCGGGGUACACCCUGGACCCCUGACCUAAAAUACAUACAACAUUCAUACAAAUCAAUAAAUAAAUAGCGUCCUUGCUUCAUGAAAAUUCACCUACUACGGGGGUUUUGGAACGUAACUCAAGCGAUCAUCGAGGAAACGCUGUAAUGUGCCGUUAAGGCAAAUCAAAGUUUGUUUUUCACGAUUGGUUGUGUGUUUUUGGGUGUGCGGGGGCUCAGGACGGAUGAAUGGAAUUGUAUUUUAUUUGAAUGGGAAUAUUAAUUUUGGAUAAUAACAGUAUUUUAAGCUAUGAGCUUUGUCACAGAAUGAAUCAACUUGUAUAUCACGGCAACAUUGUAUUAUAUACCUCAUAUUCUAAGCCUCAGACCUAAUGCAGGCUUACAAUAUUUAUUUUUGCUCCAUUUGAAUGUAGAGGUGUUUGCUGUGUUGAUCUACUUUAGCUGCAGGAUUCAAGUUACCUCUGUUUGCAGGAUGGCCGCACGUUGCUCUUUGGCAGUGAGAGACUCUUUGAGGACCUCGAUGUGCUGUUUGCAGUCCGAGUUCUGGUUGUUGAGGGUCUCUAGUUUGGUCUGCAGAGCCAGCAGCUCUGACUCCUUCUUGGACAACUCCUGCUUGAGCUGAUCAAUCUGCACACACACACACACACACACACACACACACACACACACACACACACACACACACACACACACACACACACACACACACACGCACGCACGCAUACACGCACACACAGACAAAAUCACAAUGACGAGUACAGCUUUAGCACUGUUUGCAUCAACGUUUCUCUCAUUAAAAAUGCAUUUGGGACUGACUCCCCUCCUGUGCAUUCAUCAUUUAUUAUACAUCAAUCGUAUUCACGAUGGAUGAAAAGACGUCUAAAAAUAGCGCAACAAAGCUGAGGGCUGGCCUGGCCGACCAACACGAGGAUCAGUGAGUAAACAGAAAGUCAAAGCUCAGGAGAGACGGAGGACGAUGGGUCCUCAGAGAGAGACAUGCACAAGCUAGCAUGAUGGCAGGUUUAAGGCUUCAUAUGCUGGAGAGUUGACAGCGUUAUUUGUGACAGA